CGGACGGGUGAGUAAUGUCUGGGAAACUGCCCGAUGAGGGGGAGUAACUACUGGAAACGGUAGCUAAUACCGCAUAACGUCGCAAGACCAAGAGGGGGACCUUCGGGCCUCUUGCCAUCGGAUGUGCCCAGAUGGGAUUAGCUAGUAGGUGGGGUAACGGCUCACCUAGGCGACGAUCCCUAGCUGGUCUGAGAGGAUGACCAGCCACACUGGAACUGAGACACGGUCCAG
rnacentral:rRNA from 1 species